rnacentral:rRNA from 1 species
UCAGACGAUGCGUCAUGCAUAUCAAUAAGCGGAGGAAAAGAAACUAACAAGGAUUCCCUUAGUAACGGCGAGUGAAGCGGGAAGAGCUCAAAUUUGAAAUCUUCAAGGUUUUACCUUGACGAAUUGUAGUUUAAAGAAGUGUUUUCUGCUGAAGUUUUGGUAAAAGUUCUUUGGAAUAGGACAUCAUAGAGGGUGAGAAUCCCGUAUUUGACCAUUAUUUUCAGCUGUGUGAUACACUUUCAAAGAGUCGGAUUGUUUGGGAAUGCAGUCCAAAAUGGGUGGUAAAUUUCAUCUAAAGCUAAAUAUUGGCGAGAGACCGAUAGCGAACAAGUACCGUGAGGGAAAGAUGAAAAGAACUUUGAAAUGAGAGUUAAACAGUACGUGAAAUUGUCAAAAGGGAAGCGUUUGACACCAGUGUUGUUUUCUCGAAAAUCAAUUAAAAAGAGUUAGAUUUUGUUGUGUAUUGACCUUAACAGCUUGCAUUUCAAUUUUCUUGCUUUUUUUAAUGCACUUUUCGUUUAACAAGUCAACAUCAGUUUCUUUUGUUGUAAAAAGGUCAUUGGAAGGUGGCUUUCUUUUCGGAGAAAGUGUUUAUAACCUUUGACUCCUGCAAUCGGAGAGACUGAGGUCUGCAGCGUAGAUCCUUCGGGGUUAGAUACAUUUGUGCUAAGUUAUAGCUUUUUAUAGACAACUUGUUGACUAUGAUUAGUCUUGUAGCUUACUCGCUUAUGCUAUUUUACCUACGCUUAGGAUGUUGAGUCGUAGAGCACGCAG